rnacentral:lncRNA from 1 species
UCUCAUAUUUAUUUAUUAGAUAGUUUAGUCGUGUUUUAUAUUUAUUGAUGCACGGAUCACUCUGAUAUUUGAUUUGUCGUAGACAUAACUAGCACGAUGAAUGCUUAGACAUUGAGUUCUUGUAUUCAAUCGAUAUAUUUCAUGAUUAAAACUAUUUUAUUUAUUCAAUCCUUAAUCGAGAAUCGUCGAGUUUAUUUGUUGAAAGUAAUAUUGUCAAGGGGGGUUCCGGAUCGCUAGCCAUCUCCAUAUUAUCGAACUUACUCUAUUAAUUAGUUUCUCUAAACUUCUAUAAACCAUCUGAAAUCACAACUGAAAUUAAACUGAUAAUUCAUAAACCGCUCCCUGAGGAAUCGACCUCGGACUCCCGAGUUUUACUGCCUGUGCGAUUCUCCUGCACUUGGGAGAUUAGUUUCGCAAAAGCAUUUUUGCGAACACAUCACAUUGAUUAGAAGAGAGAAACUGAUACCCUCAACUAGUCCCCAAUUACAUAAUGUCAGUACUAAUUAAGAACCUUAUUAGUGCACCAAUGAAAUUUUCCACAUUUAUCACAGGCAUGAAAAAACAAAAAGGGAAUAGGAAAUGCAAUUUGCAACAUCUGGUUCUUAUUGGCUUGGAGACACAAACUCCUAGGCCCAGUAUCCAAAUACCAUCAGCAGAUUUGUGCCAUAAGUGUUCUUGACAUGCUUUAUUCAGAAAAUAAGG